rnacentral:lncRNA from 1 species
GUCCUAGGAUUUGCAGCUGCUGGGGAAGAGGCUGCAGUCUGCCAGCUGGAGGGACACACUAGGGGAGAGGUGUUGUCUUUUGCCAAGAAGGGCACUUGGUGUCUUGGCAGAAGGCAGAGGGCUGCCCCAAUCUGUGUGUACAUUUUCAGUAGCAUUUGACUCUGGACCAAAUGCUUGGCUGUGCUAGUGCUGUGGUGCUGGGUGGGAAUGCUCGUUGGCCAGGCUGGCUGGAGGCUCCCACAGAGGGUGCUGGGCCUGGGCCAGGAGCUUCCCUUCAGCUGGCAAGUUGAGCUUUCUGUCACGGUCGGAGGGAGUGUGUCCAAAUUCCAACUCCGAGCUUUCCAGAAGCCACUGCUGACUGCCAUCUGUUUUGAAGAAUGCUGCUUAUUGGAAUUUUUGGCCCAAUGGGGAGUAAGGAUGGUGACACCGAGCCAAAGUUACCUGGCUCAAGAAUGCACAAACGCUGCGCAGCAGGGACACUGUCUUUCAUUUAUACAGGGUCUUAUUCUGUAGCUGCCCUCAAGCUCACCUCAAGCCUCAGCAUCCUGGAGUCAUCCUUCCUCAGGGGCAGGGUUACUCUUAGUAACCACAGGGAGCCAGGAAGCAGGGCAGAUGCUACAGUAGACAACCUUGGACUGACUUAGCUACAAGGUUCCCCCAUCAAGGCUGUGGGGUAGGUGCCUCUGACUCAUGCAAGUGUGAUCUUUGAGAAUGGAAAACCAGUCACCCUGGGUUACCCUUUUCCACCAGGUGUCAUUACUCUCCACGACAGCUUCUAUUCCGAGUUGUUCCCAGAGGUGGGGGGGAGGCUGUUUCCAAUUGAUCAAAGGAGGACUUUCCCAUUAGACCACUUGUGAGCCUCCAUUUAUCUUUUGUUUAAGGUAGCCUCAAGAUUUAAGGCCUAAAUCACACCCCAGGGAAGAAGUCUCCUCCUUAAUUUCAGAGAAGGCAAAAGCUCUGAAGGUGGCUUUAGAUCAUACAGCUGGAAAGUGAGGAAUGGGAGCCAAGAUUCAGACCCUGUGCUCUGAUCCAAGUGGUGUUUAUUACUGAAAUUAGGGCCUCGUGUGCUUUACUACGGAGUUCUAGCCUCAACCCUCUAUAAUUUAUAGAAACUAGUUCGGCAGAGGUAGGAGGAUCUCUGAGUUCAAAACCAGCCAGAUCUACAUAGCAAGCAAGUUCUAGGACAGUCAGAGUUACACAGAGGGACCUUGUCUUAGCUCCCCUGACUACCCCUCCUCCAGAAAAAGGUAAUUCAUUGCAAAAGGAGUAUUUAGAUUUUCACAGUCUGUAGGAUAGACACAGACACACACACACCAGUAUCAUAAAGAAAACUUCAGGGAGCUGGAGAGAUGGCUCAGUGGUUAAGAGCACUGGCUGCUCUUCCAGAGGUCCUGAGUUCAAUUCCCAGCAGCCACAUGGUGGCUCACAACCAUCUGCAAUGGGAUCUGAUGCCCUCUUCUGGUGUGUCUGAAGACAGCUAGUGUACUCAUAUAUAAUAUAAUACAUCUU